rnacentral:rRNA from 1 species
AUUGAACGCUGGCGGCAGGCCUAACACAUGCAAGUCGAGCGAGCGGCGGACGGGUGAGUGAUGUCUGGGAAACUGACUGAUGGAGGGGGAUAACUACUGGAAACGGUAGCUAAUAACGCAUACCAUCAGCUGUGACCAGAUGGGAUUAGCUAGUAGGUGGGGUAACGGCUCACCUCGGCGACGAUCCCUAGCUGGUCUGCUAGGAUGAUCAGUGACACUGGAACUGAGACACGGUCCUGACGCCUACGGGAGGCAGCAUUGGGGAAUAUUGGACAAUGGGCGAAAGCCUGAUCCAGCCAUGCCGCGUGUGUGAAGAAGGUCUUCUGAUUGUAAAUCACUUUAAGUUGGGAGGCGUUACCAACAGAAUAAGCACCGGCUAACUUCGUGCCAGCCGCCGCGGUAAUAC